GCUAGGCGUGGUGGCGCGCGCCUGUAAUCCCAGCUUCUUGGGAGGCUGAGGCAGGAUAAUGGCGUGAACCCGGGAGUCAGAGCUUGCAGUGAGCUGAGAUCACGCCACUGCACUCCAGCCUGGGCGACAGAGCGAGACUCUGUCUCAAAAAAAAAAAAGAGAGACAGGGUGUCACUUUGUCACCCAGAUUGGAGUGCAGUGACGUGAUCAUAGCUCACUGCAGCCUCAAAAUCCUGGGCUUAAGUGAUCCUCCC
rnacentral:lncRNA from 1 species